GCCGCGAUGGUGGAAUUGGUAGACACGCUGGUCUUAGGAACCAGUGCCUUCGGGCGUGGGGGUUCGACUCCCUCUCGCGGCACAA
rnacentral:tRNA from 1 species